AGAUCACCAACCCCCUCUCCUCACUCCCAGAAACCUCCCCGGCCUCUCCUCCGAGCUCGAGAUGGUCCAGAGCCCUCCCAUGGCUGCCUCGGCCAUCACCGGUUGCUGCCUAAAUUGGCAAGCCCGAGCCCAUCCCUCUCUUCCUCCACCACCUCGGCCCUCCCCUAGUACUCUAGAGCCACUCCAGCGCUUCCCUUCCUUCCCCGGUGGCUCUGUUCUUCGAGGUCGCCAGAGCCCGAAGGCCUCGUCCGCCGGCGCCCAUGUUGCCAUCGCCCUGGUCCACCCCACCGUCUGUGGAUGGGCCCUGGAGAUGCGCUGGAGUCCGUUGAUCUCGUCCAUGUGCGGAGCCUCGCCGGAGAUGCCCUGUAGCUCCGGCAGGCCUUGUCGGGGCCGGCUCUGCCGCGGCCAGGCGCGGGCGAGAGGAAGGAGACGAAGGCCCCGAACCCCUCCCUGCUAGCUGGCCGGUGGACCCCGCGGUCCCACCCGUCAGCCAGUCAGUCGUUGACCCCGCCCCUGGCCACGUGCCCAGGGACCUGUUUGUGGAGAAAUCUUUACAAAUUGGUCCCUGAACUUUGUCGAGCUAUAACUUUUUGCUCGCAACUCCGUUUGAGCUCCUCCGAGAGAGAACUAUUUCCGGUGAUUCUUUCCGCGGCUUCACCGCACUUCUUCCCGGUGAUUUCUUCAUCCCCAGGCAAGCCACAACCACCAUUUGCAUGAUAGCCAUGCAGUAGCAUUGGUUUUCAACCUGAACCUUUAAUAACUGUAUGUUUGUUUUGCUACUGUUGUCGUUAUUUCGGUUAUGCUUAUGGAUCGGUGAUUACUCUCAUGCUAUGCUUUCUUGCACUUUGUUAUCAUGAACUACUUGCUAGUAUUACUUUCAUAUUGCCAUGCUUGGUAGUAGUACAUGUUAGUUUGGUCAUGUUCUUCGGUGCAUGACUGUCGUUGGUUACCGAGUAUCGUUGAUAUGCAUUGUUCUUUUUCUAUUAGUGGGUUAAGUGUUUACUCGGUAAUGUUAUUGAUGUGUUCUUGCAUGGUAUUUAUUGCCGAUGCUAGUGGUCAUGUUAUGCUAUGAGUAGUGUUGUACUUGUGAUAUUCAUGCUCGUCAUUAUGCCAUGCUCAGUUGGAUAUGAUUCAUUGUUAAUACGGUUGCCGCACCCCAUGCUUAUAUCAUGCUCAUGCAUUAUAAUUGCAUCAUGUUAUUUUAUCAUGGCUCAGCAUAUUGCAUUCAAGUUUAACCAGAUUAAAUUGAACUUGAACAACUGUUGGCUGAGUCAUGGUGCCACCACAU